UCACAUGUGAUCCUCUGAAAGGCAAAAUUAGUAUCCCAAAACUCUUUUGGAUACCUUACGAGCUCUCAUAGGCCUAACCUCUAUCUUGUCCGUCUACUGUCACUUGACAUAGAUCAGACAUCUUUAAAUCUUCUGAUGAUCAAGACUCAGUUCUUACUAUAUCAUAUCUAAUAUGAUAUAGUAAGAAUGGAUUUAAAGAGAACCCAAUUCACUCUGUAAUU
rnacentral:lncRNA from 1 species